rnacentral:rRNA from 1 species
UACAGAGGGUGCAAGCGUUAAUCGGAAUUACUGGGCGUAAAGCGCACGUAGGUGGCUGGGUAAGUUGGAUGUGAAAUCCCCGGGCUUAACUUGGGAAUUGCAUUCAAGACUGCCUUGCUAGAGUGUGGAAGAGGGAAGCGGAAUUCCAGGUGUAGCGGUGAAAUGCGUAGAUAUCUGGAGGAACAUCAGUGGCGAAGGCGGCUUCCUGGUCCAACACUGACACUGAGGUGCGAAAGCGUGGGGAGCGAACAGG